GUGGCCGAACGCAAUAUAGUGCGAGGUCGGUAUGUGGAUCCGAUGCUAGAGGGUGCAAAUCCCUCCGGCCACACCA
rnacentral:tRNA from 1 species